AUUGAACGCUGGCGGCAGGCCUAACACAUGCAAGUCGAGCGAGCGGCGGACGGGUGAGUAAUGGAUGGGGACUGCCUGACCGAGGGGGAUAACUACUGUAAACGGUGGCUAAUACCGCAUACUGCCCGAUAAACCAUAGUGGAGUAGCUAGUAGGUGGGGUAAAGGCUCAUCUAGGCGACGAUCCCUAGCUGGUCUGAGAGGAUGAUCAGCCACACUGGGACGGAGACACGGCCCAGACUCCUACGGAGGCAGCAGUGGGGAAUAUUGCACAAUGGGCGCAAGCCUGAUGCAGCAAUGCCGCGUGUAUGAAGAAGGCCUUAGGGUUGUAAAGUACUUUCAGCGGAGAGGCGUUACCCGAACAAGAAGCAACGGCUAACUCCGUGCCAGCAGCCGCGGUAAUUC
rnacentral:rRNA from 1 species